ensembl:lncRNA
GGGGCAACCGAGGCUACUGUUCCAAGUGUUCACUGUAGAGAGGCCGAGAAUCUGGAAUUAGAGUGACCUUUCGCCCACAGCAGCUGCUGAUUUAUCACAGGAUCUAUUAGAGUCUUGUCCAGAUGUUGAUGUUCCUGACAUGAAGCUGUUUAAUUUGAAAUUGGCUCAGCUGGAAAAUUAGGUUAAGGGAUUUUAUAACCAGAGUACAAGGCAGAAAAUUUACCCUUUUUUAUAAACCCAAGGUGCUCACGGUACAAACCACAAUUCAAGGAAGUUUCAGUUCUGGAACAGGCGAUGUUACACUGUACGUGGAGAAGGCUAAAAAUGUGGGAGGAAAGUUCAGAGUUCUUACCUAAGGAGUCACCACGGGGGCCUCAAGAAUGGCUGCUGGAAGCUGUAAAGACACUGCAGAUGUGUGGGAGCCUCAGGAAAGCUCAGGUACUUGGAAAUCCUGAAUGCACAAAGAUUUAAGGAAAACAAUAAACUACAACGCUAGGCACAAAGAAGCGUAUGGAGGAUCCACUUAUAAUAUUUUUGAAGGCUAAUGAAGGAUGGAGAAGAAUCCCAGGAAUCUUGCUUAAAAUAAAUACUAGGCCAAACUGGGGAAGAAAUUUUGAAC